UUUCUUUCUGAAUUUUCUGGUAUCAAUCUGUUAUGCCUUCUGUUAGAGUUGUUAGUAACUUGUAACUGAUAAAUGCUGUUAGGAAAUGCUGUUAGGUUUUUUGAAUGUAUUGAAGUUGGUUUGAAAAGUCAGUUAGAUGGCAGUUACGAUUCUGUUUUGUUGUUGGGAAGUUAGUUAGGGAAAGGUUCGGAAAACUGUGAGUUGCAAUUCUGUUUUGGAUGUCUGAAUGAAAUGUUAGUUAAAGGUUAUGACAGUUAGGAAUUGGAUUAGUUAGGGUAGUUAUGAACUGAAACGGAGUUAAUUACCUGGUUUUUCUGUUUGAAAAAUGUUAUGGUAGUUUAGAAAAGGUUAAAAAAAGGUCAAUGUAUGGUGUCAGCAGAGUGUAUGGAUGUGAACUGUUUGAAUGCUGCAGGUUCUUUGAAUGUAUGCACAUGACUUCAAGGUGAUGAUAUGAGAUGAUGAUAUUGUUUUGAUGAGUGAUUUAUGACAUGGACUGAAUGUAUGUGGACUGAAGACUCAUGUGAAUGAUUGGCUUUAAAACUAGCAGCAUAAUUGGUUCUGUUUUGAAUUAAUAGUGCUGUAUGGAUGUAGAUAUAUGGGGCUGUUUUAUACAUUGCAGAAUUUCCCUCUUCUCUUCUUUGUGGCUGAAUGUGUGCAGGUUAUGGCUAUGUUAUCAAAUGAGGGCCGUUUGGCUUGAAUUGAGGCAUGGAUCAAAUGAAGGCGGUAUGGAGCACGGUCAUGAGCUAAAAAUGCUUUGAAGAUUAGCUUAGGAAUAGAAUUCUAGGAAUGAGAUUCCAUGUAUUUCCUGUGUAAAAUAACGGACUUUGUAAUGGGUAUUUGGUUCCUUUGAAAUCGGUGAUGAUUUGAGUUAUGGAAAGUUGAAUGUGAUUUGAUGAAUGGUGAAACUUUAAAUGAAUUUUGUAAUGGUUUUUUUGUAAUUGAUUGGAUUUAUUUUGUUCUUGUUUGUA